UGAGGAAUAUUGGUCAAUGGGCGAGAGCCUGAACCAGCCAAGUAGCGUGCAGGAUGACGGCCCUAUGGGUUGUAAACUGCUUUUAUGUGGGGAUAAAGUGCGUGACGUGUCAUGCAUUGCAGGUACCACAUGAAUACGGACCGGCUAAUUCCGUGCCAGCAGCCGCGGUAAUACGGAAGGUCCGGGCGUUAUCCGGAUUUAUUGGGUUUAAAGGGAGCGUAGGCUGUCUAUUAAGCGUGUUGUGAAAUUUACCGGCUCAACCGGUGGCUUGCAGCGCGAACUGGUCGACUUGAGUAUGCAGGAAGUAGGCGGAAUUCAUGGUGUAGCGGUGAAAUGCUUAGAUAUCAUGACGAACUCCGAUUGCGCAGGCAGCUUACUGUAGCAUAACUGACGCUGAUGCUCGAAAGUGCGGGUAUCAAACAGG
rnacentral:rRNA from 1 species